rnacentral:lncRNA from 1 species
UGCGCUAGAUGGUAUACCCUACAACUCUGAAAUUCCAUGGCCCAUAUGGAAUCUAGUAUUGACUCGGCGGGGAAGCCUCCAACCCAAUUGUGCUGCAAGGGUUUGAGUCUCUAAAUCUGCUAUGCCACACAGCCGUCGCCAGCGUAAAAAUAAUAUAUCCGGAUCGGCAAAUCACAGUUUUAGGCUAAGAGUUACUUGAAUGCUAGCCCUCUUCAGGCAACCAC